CCAGGUCCCCACCCUGCCACCCUGGGGCUGUCACUGCGUCAGCAUCCUCUGGGGGAGACCAGGGAAGGCUGCCUCUCCCUGCAGGGGUGGGGGGAGGAAAUGAGCCGAUCCUCCAGGUGCGGGCUGGGAAGGGACACGCAGGGGGCUCCCGCGUACAGCGGCACCCCAGCAUCAUCCCUUGUCCCCCUGCACCCCACCAGCAUGCCCCCAGGGUCCUCUUUCAUCCCAUCCCUGCCCUCGUGUCUCAGGACUGGCCCAAGAGCUAGGGCUGCGGUGAGUCCAGGCCUGCUUCCCGCCAACACCUGCCACGAUCCAUUCUCUGCGUGCCUUUAAAGAGGUCUCUGUCACUCUCUGGGCCUCAGUUUCUGCACCUGUAAAAGUCGAAAGUGGCCCAAGAUGAGCUCCGAGGGGCUCUGGGUAACAGCGGGGACUGGAAGAGUAGCUCAGAGAGUCAAGGGGGCCGGGGGCGGUGGUCCUCACGCCUCAGAGCUCGUUCCCACCCUCACCGUGCCCCAGGCCCUGCUCAGCGCCCUGGACGUGUCCCAGCUCCCUCGUCCAGCCCCAACAGCUCUGCUCCACGUAGGACAUGGGCUGGGGGAAGGGGGUGCAUCUCAGCCACCCCCUCCUCACCCCUGUCACCCCCCUGAGAGCCCGCCCCGGUUUCUCCAGCUCCCCACCGGCGGCUGUGGGCCUGGGGCAUCCCCACCCGCGUCCCACAUGUGGUGGCAGGACUGGGUGCUUCCUGAGAGGAGAGGGGCCUGGCCUGGGGCCUUUCACAGGCCUUACUGUCCCCAACUAGUUGGGGGACACCAAAGGUCAGAGCCCGAAGUGAGGGGUCCAACCGGGCUUGAAGCCAGGGCUGCCCAAGGGUCCCCAACCCAGACACACACACACACAUGCACGCAGCACCCCCAACGCCCCACAUGGCCUCCCCUGUGGGUGCUGGGUCCUCCCAGGGAGUCCAGAGCACAGCAGGGAGUGUGUGGCCCUUGACCUCUUAGGAAGGGCCACCCGCCCAGCCCCAGCCGCCCCCCGUCUUCUCGGGAUCACCCCUGCCCAGCUGGCCUGCCCCCCUCCCCACAGGCACCCUGGCCCCACCCCCCAGGUCCUCCCACGGGUCCUCCCGCGGGUCCUCCCGUGGCCCGGGCUGAGAGAGCAGGGAUGCGGUCUGGCGCGGCAGGCCCCGGGUGGUGACAGCAGCAGCCUGGCUGUUGCCCUGUGUCCCCCGCCUAACCCUCCGCCCCUGGGCUGCUCAACUGCUUCUGUGACCUCGUCCCUCAGAGCAGCGGGUCCCCGGGGGUCGUGAACCCUAAGACACCAUUGCAGAAGCUUACAAUCCAGCUGCGAGGGUGAGGGGGCUUCUCCAGGCUUGGGGAGCGUCUCUUCACUAGACUGGGCUUCAAGGGGCAACCACACCUGAAACUGUUCCCGUCCCAUCCACCAGAAGAUGUCUCGACCCCUGACCCAGCCAACACUUGACCACUGACCCCAGACACAGACAGCCUGGCCUGAGUCAGGAGGUGACAAGGGUAAGAUCAUCCCUGUGUACUCGUGUCCA